GAUGAACGCUGGCGGCGUGCUUAACACAUGCAAGUCGAACGAUGAAGCGCAGCUUGCUGGGCGGAUUCGUGGCGAACGGGGGAGUAACACGUGAGUAACCUGCCCUUCACUCUGGGAUAAGCCUGGGAAACUGGGCCUAAUACAGGAUAUGACUUCUCAUCGCACGGAGGGGGGGGGAAAGAUGUAUUGGUCUUGGAUGGACUCGCGGCCUAUCGGCUCGUUGGUGAGGUAAUGGCUCACUAAGGCGACGACUGGUAGCCGGCGUGAGAGGGUGACCCGCCGCCCUGCGCCUGAGCGACGGCCCAGUCUGCAACCGGGUGCCGCCGUCGUCAUCCUUGCUCAAUCAGCCCGAGCCUGUUCCUGCGGCGCCCCGUGCGCGAAGUCGUCCUACCGGUUGUAAACCUCUUUCAGUGAUGACGUGCCCUGAUUGACGGUACCUGCAGAAGAAGCCCCGGCUAACUACGUG
rnacentral:rRNA from 1 species